rnacentral:rRNA from 1 species
AGAGUUUGAUCCUGGCUCAGGACGAACGCUGGCGGCACGCUUAACACAUGCAAGUCGAACGAGAGAAGAGGAGCUUGCUUUUCUGAUCUAGUGGCGGACGGGUGAGUAACACGUGAGCAAUCUGCCUUUCAGAGGGGGAUACCGAUUGGAAACGAUCGUUAAUACCGCAUAACAUAAUUGAACCGCAUGAUUUGAUUAUCAAAGAUUUAUCGCUGAAAGAUGAGCUCGCGUCUGAUUAGCUAGUUGGUAAGGUAACGGCUUACCAAGGCGACGAUCAGUAGCCGGACUGAGAGGUUGAUCGGCCACAUUGGGACUGAGACACGGCCCAGACUCCUACGGGAGGCAGCAGUGGGGAAUAUUGCACAAUGGAGGAAACUCUGAUGCAGCGAUGCCGCGUGAGGGAAGAAGGUUUUAGGAUUGUAAACCUCUGUCUUCAGGGACGAAAAAAGACGGUACCUGAGGAGGAAGCUCCGGCUAACUACGUGCCAGCAGCCGCGGUAAUACGUAGGGAGCGAGCGUUGUCCGGAAUUACUGGGUGUAAAGGGAGCGUAGGCGGGAUCGCAAGUCAGAUGUGAAAACUAUGGGCUUAACCCAUAAACUGCAUUUGAAACUGUGGUUCUUGAGUGAAGUAGAGGUAAGCGGAAUUCCUAGUGUAGCGGUGAAAUGCGUAGAUAUUAGGAGGAACAUCAGUGGCGAAGGCGGCUUACUGGGCUUUAACUGACGCUGAGGCUCGAAAGCGUGGGGAGCAAACAGGAUUAGAUACCCUGGUAGUCCACGCCGUAAACGAUGAUUACUAGGUGUGGGGGGACUGACCCCUUCCGUGCCGCAGCAAACGCAAUAAGUAAUCCACCUGGGGAGUACGACCGCAAGGUUGAAACUCAAAGGAAU